ACCAGGAGACUACAGAGAACACUCCUGCUCUGUGUUGGCACUGGAUGGGUCUUUGGUAUCUAUCUGGAGAAGGCGCGUAGGGCCUGGGUUUAAUUUCACAUGCAAUAGACAGUAUCUUUGACAAUGCAGCAUUCCCUCAGGACCGUACUUGAGAUGCUGCCAGACCUGCUGCGCUGUUCCAGCAACGUCGUUAGUGUUGUGAAAAUAUAUAACUAUGAAAGUAUGGCUGUAGUGAUGAGAGAUUUUUUUUGCUUCAAAUUGUCAAUAUUCCAGAAUGCAGAGCUGUGUUGAACGAGUUGCUGAACUGGGAAACUACCAUCCCAGGUGAAUGCAAAAGAUCCCAUUAAACUGUUGGAAGAAGAAUGGAGAAGCUUUGUCCAGCCAUUCACCACACCUCAUCCAUUAAUGAACGUUGCAUUGCUCUUUGUAGGAGCUUGCUGUGCUCAAACUGGCUGCACUGCCAAAGUACCAACUGGCUGUAAAGAGCUGUGGGAAAUCCUGAGUUUGUGAAAGGUGCUAUAUAAAUGCAAGCCUUUCUUCUCACACUGAGAACCUAAUAAUUUUGUGAUUAAACUGCACAUUCAGUUGACAUUUGAAGACUUUUAAUUAAAUAAUUGGAAGAUAUUCUUUAGUUAUUAACUAAUAACUGAAUUGUAUUUUGAGAGAGCUAUUGCUGGGAAUUAAAUCUCCUCAGCCAUAGAUGCCACAGUGAACUGAAAUUUAAAAAACUGAAUGUGAAAUGUAUUGAUUUUAUGUCCAAAUUGAAUUUUUAAAAAUAUAAUGUUGCAACAAACAUAACUCAAGGCCAUUCCUAGCUUCUGGGCUUAUCAGUGAAUAUGGACCAAAACAUCUUUCAUUAUUGAACUUCUAAUUAUUGAUCUUCCCCGAAGGCUACAUAAGAACAGGCUGAUACCAUUCAAUCUCUCAAGCUGUUUUUGGGUUCAAUUACAUCAUGACUGAUUAGUAUUUCAACUCCAUUCCAUUGACUUGAUGUUAUAAUGUUUAAUACUAUUUCCUAAUAAAAAUGUCAAUCUCAAUGUUGAAUUUUUCAAUUAACCCCUAAGCUCCACCCUUUUUUUCAGGAUGCUCUGGAUUUCAAUUACCCUUUCUGUGUAGAAUGGUUUGAGCUGAUCAAUCCUCAUGGGUUUGUCAACAUGAGUUUUGGGACUCAGGGUUGUGUGUUUAGAGAAUUUUCCAAUAGGCUAUACAGUCUGCACUCUAAUGGACUCUGUUCUCAUUCACUGUGAUUUCGAAGUAUGUAUUGUCUAAUUCUCUGGAGCUCUGGCAAUUUCUUUUAC